UUCUUCCUCCUGCUGCGACUCUCUCUCUAACAUCAUCUGGCUGAGAUCAAAUAGCCGAAGAGACUAUAGGUGCACUGGUUCGGUGCACGAGCUUUAAGAUUACAACUUAAAAGUGCUGAAAAUUUCUUCAGUUCCUUGUUGUAUUUCGUCAGAUUCUUCUCUCCCUAUAUCCCGCUUGUCUCAAUCUUCUCCGGAACACAGAAAACGGAGAGACCCCAUCUGCGACCAUCUCAUUACUGCUCCAGAUGUAUAACGGAAUCGGGUUACAGACCCCGAGGGGGUCGGGUACAAACGGUUAUAUCCAAACAAACAAGUUUUUCGUGAGGCCGAAAACCGGCAAGGUAGCACAUGAUACUAAGGGUUUCGAGGGAGAUCAGGGGACUGGUGGGAUUACCAAGAAACCUAAUAAGGAAAUUCUUGAGCAUGAUCGCAAGCGGCAAAUUCAGCUCAAGCUUGUUGUGCUUGAAGACAAGCUGAUUGAACAAGGAUAUACUGAUGCUGAGAUUGAAGAGAAGCUUCAGGAAGCUAGGAAGACUUUGGAAGCUGCAUCCGAAGAGAGUGGGGGACUUACUGCCUCUGACACAAAGGUUUCAGAUACGCAGUCCCAUCAAAUUGCUGCUAGGAAGGAAAAACAAAUGGAAACAUUAAGGGCUGCUCUUGGUAUACGAAUGUCUGAACCAGAUGAACAAGGCAUUGAUGGGACUGAUGAUGAACUAAGAAAUAGUCGGAAGAAUGACCCAGGUGAAGGAAGCAAGUGGAGUGAGAAACGUGAACAUGCCUUUUUGGAUAGAGAGUUCACCCGCAAGAAACAUGUGGCUGAAGAUCUUGAAGUUGAGAAGGAUGAAAAUAAAAAGGGUGUUAAAGCCUUGAAAAAUAAGAAGAAAGAAGAUGAGUUUGACGAGUCAAGGCACCACCGGAAGGAAGAAAGCAAGAAGAGAAGGCAUCGGGACGAUUCUUCUGAUACGGAUAGCAGUGGGAAGCAUGCUAAAGGAAGUCGCAAGAAGCAUAGUAAAGGUAGACGAGGAAGGGAUCAUGAAACUGAAAGUGAUUCUGACCAUGGCAAGAAGAAGAGAACAUCGACGAGGCACAAGAAAAGCAGAAGACAUGACAGUGGAAGUGAUGAUUCUGCUACUGAUGACGAGACCGAUUCCGACCAUGGCAAGAAGAAGAGCAGAAUUUCUGAGAAACUCAAGAAAAGCAGAAGAUCUGGUGAUAGUGAUGAUUCUGCUACUGAUGUUGCGGAUGAUGUUGGCCUGGUUAAUCUGCAUCAGGAAGUUGAGAAACACAAGAAAUCUCGUGCAAGGCAUGACUCUGAUGAUAAUUCUGGUUUUAAUGAUCGAUGGAAUGGUGAUGGCAGUAGACAUGGGAAUGGUCGCAGAAUCAGUGAAGGUGAUAGUGAAUCCGAUCUCAACAAAGUAGGAAAGCAUAGAAGGGAAUUGACAAGUAGGAGUCACAAAAGGAAUGAUAGUGAUUCUGAUGCUAGUGGUGAUGAGAAAUUAGAGAAAAUUAGAAGUAGGAGGAGGCAUGAUAGUGAUGAAGAAGAUUCUGAUACAGUUUAUGGUAGGAAAGGGAAGAAAAUUGUUGAGGAGAUGCGAGGUUCUCUGAAAGAUGAUAGUGAUGAUAGCAAGAGCACUGAUUCUGACAGCAGUGCUAGUGAUGAUGGGCAUGGGAAAACCAUGAAGAAAAAUCUCCUAGACAAAAGUGGACGUGGAGAUCACAGGCAGAUAAUUGACAAGAAGCUAGAUUCUCUGGAUGAUGUCAGUGAGGAUAGCAGGAGAAGCAGUGAUUCUGGCAGCAGUGGUAGUGAUUACAGACAUGGAAAACCUGUGAAAAAGACUCCUGCUGAUAACAACAGAAGUGGAGGGGGGGAUGGUGGUUAUAACAAAGGUGGUCGAAGUGGUCGUGAAUCCUUUCUAGAAGAGAAGGGUUCUAGAUCUGCUGAUCUUGGCCGUGGUGAUAGACCCAGAGAACUGUACCAAUCUCAUAGAGAAGCUGUGGACAAAACCAACCUUGAUAUUCAAGCAACGGGGAGGAACAAAAGGAAACUAGAUGAUUCAACUAAGGAUGAGGAGCAUGAAUCAAAGUCAAGAAAUCGAACAAUUGGAAAAGAGGAAGGGCAUGGCAUUGAUCAUAGAGCAUAUCAAAGUAAGGAUGAUCAGAAGGGUGAUUCUUCUAAAUUGGUUAGAUCCAGAGGGCGUGAUGAUGAACAUGUUGGAGAUACACGUAAAGAAGAUGAACCACGACGUGGAAGUAGGAAUGAUCAAGAAUACAAAGAGCGUGGAGGGGAGAAAAGACAUGCCAGGGAUGAGGAGGAUCAUAGAGGGAGAAGAUACCAGAGAGAUGAAGAAGAGGAUGAUGACUACAGAAGGCAUGGAAAGAAUGAGGUAGAUCAGCGAUAUGGAAGUAGAAGGCACGGAAGAGGGGAGAAAGAAGAGCAAGGAAGUAGAGGUCAUGAGAGGGACAAGCAGAUAGAUAACUCCAAGAGGUCUAGAUAUGACGAUUCUCGUUUUAGUGAGAGGAAACGGUAUGAAAAUGACAGGCGUGAUGAUGAUCGAGUCAGAUAUAGAGAUUAAAAACUGGUCAUCUUUUGGCAGCGCAUAACUGUACAAUUACACAAACAGUAAUAUGUUGCCGGGAUGGACCCCACUGCUGAUGCAUUUUAAUGUUUAUUGCUAGCUUUACUUGCUUAGAAAACACCUGCUCGAGUUUCUUCACCGUUAAGCCAUGGAGAAUCUCAGCCGGAUCAAAUUGUUACUGGAGCCAGGGUGCUAGAAAGUGGAAAGAAGUCUGCUCCUUGAGAUUGCUCAAUACUUGGAACAGUAGUAGUAUUUUGUUGAUUCAAUGAAGAAUAUCCUCCAUAAGUGUUUGUUACGACUUGUUAUUUCCGUUGGUAAGGAUUGGGUUAUUUGACUGCUAUUGAUAGUAUGCUUGUAGCUUUGAUAUUGGGAUGCAUGCUUGCCGAUAUACAGGCAAUGCCUCUAUCAUGUGUGAAUGCUGUGCCUUCAGAUUGACCAAUAAUAUUUUGUUAUACCAUCAAAUUAUUAUUAUUAUUAUUAUUUGGUUCUUAAAA